rnacentral:tRNA from 1 species
GGCUAGGUGGCUCAGUUGGUUGGAGCAUUGUCCCAUACACCAAAAGGUUUCAGGUUCAAUUCCUGGUCUGGGCA